UGACCCUUUAAGGUUGUGCACGCUCGAGCUCUCUCUUAUACAUCCACCUCACCCUUUGUGCAUCACCGCGUGGGUCCCCCCUUGAAGGGGGCUUGCGUUUUUCACAUAAAACUAGAUGCAGUGUAGAAUGUCUUUUAUUUUUGCGGUCACACGCAAUCAAUAUAACUUUCAACAACGGAUCUCUUGGUUCUCGCAUCGAUGAAGAACGCAGCGAAAUGCGAUACGUAAUGUGAAUUGCAGAAUUCAGUGAAUCAUCGAAUCUUUGAACGCACCUUGCGCCCCUUGGCAUUCCGAGGGGCACACCCGUUUGAGUGUCGUGAAAUCCUCAAAACCUGUUCUUCGAUUGAGGAAAGGGUUUUGGACUUGGAGGAUCAAUGCUUGCCCUUACUUUGAAGGCGAGCUCCUCUCAAAUAAAUUAGUGGGGUUUGCUUUGCUGAUCCUCGACGGUGAUAAGACAUUUCUACGUUUUGGAUUUGGCGACUGUCCCUUGCUUCUAACCGUCCCAUGGACAAUGAUGGGUGCACCGGUCCACCGCCUUACAUCGGUGGUGGGCUAGACCCACAAAAAGGACCUUGACCUCAAAUCGGGUGAGACUACCCGCUGAACUUAAGCAUAUCAAUAAGCGGAG
rnacentral:rRNA from 1 species